GCUGAUAGUGUAGGGGUUAAAGCACGCGACCAUCUGCAGUCCUCAAAGCAGCUGUCCCGGGUUCGAGUCCCGGGUUCGAGUCCCGGACGCAGCAACA